UACGAAGGGUGCAAGCGUUACUCGGAAUUACUGGGCGUAAAGCGUGCGUAGGUGGUUUGUUAAGUCUGAUGUGAAAGCCCCGGGCUCAACCUGGGAAUGGCAGUGGAUACUGGCGAGCUAGAGUGUGUCAGAGGAUGGUGGAAUUCCCGGUGUAGCGGUGAAAUGCGUAGAGAUCGGGAGGAACAUCAGUGGCGAAGGCGGCCAUCUGGGCUGUAACUGACGCUGAGGCGCGAAAGCGUGGGGAGCAAACAGG
rnacentral:rRNA from 1 species